UAAUAUCACUAAGUCAUAUUUCAUAAUUUUGAAUCAAAAUAAUGAUAUACAUUACCAACUCGUACUGGCAUUACUCCUUAAAAAUUUACAUACAAUGUCUACAACAUGUAUUCUAAUAAUUUACAUUAAGUUCGUUUGUACAAAACAAAAUAACACUCGACUUCCAGCGGAGUGACUCGGAUGAAUAUACGGCUACUAAUGCCGAGACACCUACCAAAAGAUGGACACAAGUCUACAAGGACACCUCGUCCUAGUUACCGACUGCCUCGUGAUCUGAAAACAUGAAUUUGAAAAUGGUGAGUAUAAACCCAGUGAAUGAACAAGGAAGGGAACAAGCAACAAUAACAAGGGAGAAUUUAAAAUCAUGAUGCACUUGUUUCAAAACAAUGUAAUUUAGUUCCAUUCAUAUUAAAAACCCCUCAUUUUAAACUUAACUCAUUUAGUCCUAAAUGUUGGAAGUCCAUGCUCAGAUAUGGUAGCAAGAAGUGAAAAAUAGGGCAGCAAUUGGACAAGAUAGGAGACAAAACAGAAAGUUUUUCGCUGCAGUGAAAACAGAGCAACAAGAGAAACAUUUUUCCUCACUCAACAAAAAGCCAUCCUGCUAAACUAACAAAAUCAACAUAAAACUCAUGAAAAUUCUCAAAGUACAAUGUGUCAAAUUUCACAUAUAUGUCAACCAUAUAUCACAUUCAUGAGCUUUCAUUUCAUAAAUCUAGAUAUGCAUAAUUACAUAGACAAACAUCAAUAUCAUCAUAAUUACUCCCGGNNNNNNNNNNNNNNNNNNNNNNNNNNNNNNNNNNNNNNNNNNNNNNNNNNNNNNNNNNNNNNNNNNNNNNNNNNNNNNNNNNNNNNNNNNNNNNNNNNNNNNNNNNNNNNNNNNNNNNNNNNNNNNNNNNNNNNNNNNNNNNNNNNNNNNNNNNNNNNNNNNNNNNNNNNNNNNNNNNNNNNNNNNNNNNNNNNNNNNNNNNNNNNNNNNNNNNNNNNNNNNNNNNNNNNNNNNNNNNNNNNNNNNNNNNNNNNNNNNNNNNNNNNNNNNNNNNNNNNNNNNNNNNNNNNNNNNNNNNNNNNNNNNNNNNNNNNNNNNNNNNNNNNNNNNNNNNNNNNNNNNNNNNNNNNNNNNNNNNNNNNNNNNNNNNNNNNNNNNNNNNNNNNNNNNNNNNNNNNNNNNNNNNNNNNNNNNNNNNNNNNNNNNNNNNNNNNNNNNNNNNNNNNNNNNNNNNNNNNNNNNNNNNNNNNNNNNNNNNNNNNNNNNNNNNNNNNNNNNNNNNNNNNNNNNNNNNNNNNNNNNNNNNNNNNNNNNNNNNNNNNNNNNNNNNNNNNNNNNNNNNNNNNNNNNNNNNNNNNNNNNNNNNNNNNNNNNNNNNNNNNNNNNNNNNNNNNNNNNNNNNNNNNNNNNNNNNNNNNNNNNNNNNNNNNNNNNNNNNNNNNNNNNNNNNNNNNNNNNNNNNNNNNNNNNNNNNNNNNNNNNNNNNNNNNNNNNNNNNNNNNNNNNNNNNNNNNNNNNNNNNNNNNNNNNNNNNNNNNNNNNNNNNNNNNNNNNNNNNNNNNNNNNNNNNNNNNNNNNNNNNNNNNNNNNNNNNNNNNNNNNNNNNNNNNNNNNNNNNNNNNNNNNNNNNNNNNNNNNNNNNNNNNNNNNNNNNNNNNNNNNNNNNNNNNNNNNNNNNNNNNNNNNNNNNNNNNNNNNNNNNNNNNNNNNNNNNNNNNNNNNNNNNNNNNNNNNNNNNNNNNNNNNNNNNNNNNNNNNNNNNNNNNNNNNNNNNNNNNNNNNNNNNNNNNNNNNNNNNNNNNNNNNNNNNNNNNNNNNNNNNNNNNNNNNNNNNNNNNNNNNNNNNNNNNNNNNNNNNNNNNNNNNNNNNNNNNNNNNNNNNNNNNNNNNNNNNNNNNNNNNNNNNNNNNNNNNNNNNNNNNNNNNNNNNNNNNNNNNNNNNNNNNNNNNNNNNNNNNNNNNNNNNNNNNNNNNNNNNNNNNNNNNNNNNNNNNNNNNNNNNNNNNNNNNNNNNNNNNNNNNNNNNNNNNNNNNNNNNNNNNNNNNNNNNNNNNNNNNNNNNNNNNNNNNNNNNNNNNNNNNNNNNNNNNNNNNNNNNNNNNNNNNNNNNNNNNNNNNNNNNNNNNNNNNNNNNNNNNNNNNNNNNNNNNNNNNNNNNNNNNNNNNNNNNNNNNNNNNNNNNNNNNNNNNNNNNNNNNNNNNNNNNNNNNNNNNNNNNNNNNNNNNNNNNNNNNNNNNNNNNNNNNNNNNNNNNNNNNNNNNNNNNNNNNNNNNNNNNNNNNNNNNNNNNNNNGGGCAAAAAAAUCAUUUUAUAAAAAUUCUCGUUUAGACCUCUAGUGGCAAAAUUACCAUUUUGCCCUUGUGCUUCAAAAAUACCAGGAAUCAUAAUUUUUCACUGCUAAACAUCAUUUUAUACUCCAAUAAUCAUAAUUAUAUUUCAUAUAAUCAUUGUUGGUCAAAUGUGAUCAAAUCUUGGCUAAAAAUCUCCAUUUUAUCAUCAAAUGGUAAAAUGACCGUGUUGUCCUUAAUCUGUCAAUUUUCCUGAUGGACUCCAAAUUGGACUUUGAACUCUGAAUCACUAUUCUAAGCCAUUCUGUGGGUUUUAAAAUUUUAAAAUUUCUCUUAGAAUUUCUAUUUGAACUAGUUCAAGGCUCGAUUUAACUUAGUUGUACCACUCAGUACAAUACCGUCUUUUAAUCGAGCUUGACAGGGUCUCACAAUUUGAACAAUCUUGAUUUACAUUCUAGAACUUCUUUGAAUAGUUCAAGAUGGUUGAUAAUGAGGUUGAAAGUUUUGACUACUUUGAUUUGUACUUUUAAAGCAAAAUGAGCUUAUAUGAGAAAAAUGUUGUCAUCUUUUAAGUUUAGAAUGAUUUAUGAAUUGAACAAGUUUGUUUCACAAUGAAAAUACUUAUGACUUGUUCUUAUUGGAUGUGCAUGCUUACUUGUAAGCUUGAAUGGCCAUAAGGGUAUUUUUGAGACAUGAUUGUGAGAUAUUUGCAAAUAACCCUUGACAUGCAUAUACAUGAUUCAUUAUGCCGAUUACAUAUUUCAUAAAUCAUUUAGAGUAUAAUGAAACAAAAUUGAGUGACUUUGAGCUUAUGAUUUUUCACAAAGCAAGUCUAAUAUUGAAUGUAUCAAGUUAAAAAGUUUGUAAAGAAAGAUUAAAUCUUUAUCAAGUGAUAUUCUUGCAAAAUCUUUUUAUUCUUUUUGAUUGAAAUUGAUUCACUGUUUUUGAUGAUAUAGCAUGGUUGAGCAAAAUCAAUUUGAUACAUGAAUUGCAUAAACCCCAUUUUGCUUGGAAUUUCUCUCAUGAUUGGUGAAACUAAUUGAAAGGGAUUUCUUAAGCAAGAUUUUGAGUGUGAUAAUUUGGCAUUGAUGGCAUUUUUCGAGCAAAGGAACAAAUCUUCUUGUGAUGCUUGAGGCUAUAAUGAUUUUAAUGAUAUAAAACUUGAACAAGUGUGCUUUAUGUUGAAAAUGCCAUUAUAUCUUGUUCUUGUUACAAAUGAUUGCUUCAAUAACCUCAAAAACAUUUUUGUCCAUACGCUGAUAAAUUGUUGAAAAUGCUAAAUUUGAAGCUUGUUGUGGUUAAAGAUUGUUUAAAUGCUUGUUGUGCAUGUUAUAAGUCAUAGUCACGCAUAAUGAUGUAAAUUGAAUAUGUUUGAGCAUAUUAAAGGCAUGAUUCUUCAAAUGAGCCUUUCAACUUUUUAGCACUUGUGAACAAUGAGCAAUAAAAACCAAAAUUUGAGUUCACAUGUUUUUCUUCAAGAAUCUUUGAUCAUACAUGUCUCCAAAAUGAUGUUUUAACAUGGUUGAAAUGAAAUUCUAAAUUGUUCUCACAUAAAUCCAUGUUUUGAGAUCAUUAUACCUUGGCAUGCCAAUGUUAGCAAACCCAUUCACUAAACCUAUUACUAGAAAUGCAUUCCAAAAGCAUAUUAGGGGUUUAGGGUUAUUACACAUUUGCUAUUCAUGUACUAUUAUUUUUUGAAUAAUGUAUAAAUUAAGUCUGUUUUGAAUUAUUUGAUCAAAUGUUGUUAAUUAAUUAGGGCACAUAUAUAAGGUAAUUAUUGUCACCUAGUUGUAUAGAUUAUUCUUUUCACAUGGGGAUAAUCAUCCCAACGCUACAAUAGUGUGUGGGAUGAAACUUAAAUGAUCACAAGGUACCUAGCGUUUUGUGUUUUCCUUAUCACAUGAGUUGUGAAAAAGGAUCUUAGUAAUGUCACCUUAACUUAAAGUCAAGAUGAGGCUCGUAAGAGUCGAACAUGGAGAUUAUCCACACUCCAUGGAGCUAGUGAUAAUCGGAUUUGAAUCUUUGGGGAUUUAAGUCAAUCUUUUUUGGAGGGAUUAGACCGAUGGAAGGGAGUGAUUGAAUAGAUCCCUACUUCAUCACUGUGUGCGCCCUAAGGACUUAUGUAGUCCAAAUUUUAUACGCUUUGGGACUUGGAUCUAUGAUAUGAAGUUGAGAUUUGGAGUUGCUACGUUAGCAUGAUUUCAAAGGGUAAAAAAUGAUGUGAUCUAACGAAACAUGACUAGGAAAGCAAUCAUAUUUUAAUGGAUUGAUAUGAGUAUCCAAGGAAAAGUCAUUUUACAUCUCACAUACAUGGUCUAUAACUCAUUGCCUAGGCAGUUAUAAAAACAUUAAUUGUUAGAUAUAACUAUGAGUUUAGACACAUAAAGAGAUUCUGCAUAGCUCUUACAUGUAAAAAGGAUCAAAGAUGCAAAAUCUUAUGUGAUUAAAAUGAUUUGGGGUAUGACAAGAACUUGAGUGAUGUUAUGUUAGUAAGACAAUAACUUGAUAUCUCACUGCUCACAAGUACCUCUAUUUUCUCGUUGGUCACACAUUCCGUUUUCCCUACAUGACAAUGAUCGAGAAUGAGUUAAAUUGAGAAUGGCCUAAGUUGAUGCCAAUGUGUACUAGUGGGAGAUGUUGCAUUUAAAUGCGGUGUGUCCACAUGGCAUGCAACUUUGUUAAUUAUUUGUGAAUAAUUACCAAAUAUUCAAUUAAUUAAUGUUGGAUAUUAUUCUGAUGUUUCUUGAUUGAAUAAUUAAAAAUAUGUUUGAGAUAGGAUAUAAAUUUAAAUAUAAUUUGUUUAAAUUUAAAUAAGAAUUAUCUAUCCAUUAUAUUUAAAUUUAAUUUGUUUGAAUUUAAAAGUAAUAUAUCUUAUCUUUAUCCUUGACACAUCUAUAAAUAGUAAAUAAACGUACUGGCUUUUUCACACAACUAAGAGUGAAUAUGAGUUGUUUUGUAAGUCAGAAAAACCAAAAACUCUUUUCUCUUUUUUUUCUUUUCAUUCUUGAAGCACCAUCAAAUGUCCGAAUGGACAAGCUUUAGAAGAUUGGUAGCCCUUUUAGCCUUCCUAAAAGGGUUUCUGCUGGACUUACUAGCACGACAUAGCUAACAUGUAGGAAGUUUAACAUUGGUGAGUGAGCCCAAUAGCUUUUUUCUAACCAUUUGAAAUUCAAUUUUUCCCAAUAUGUCCUAAUCUAGCAUGUCAUUUCACAUAAUCAUUUAUAAAAUCAGAAGAAGAAUUUGAAACAAAAACAACAUCAUUAUUAGAAUCCAAAUCUAAUAUAAUCAAACCAUCUUUAAAAUAACCAUGACCAAAAAACAUGUUUUGGAGAAAAAUAGACAAACUAUAAUUCUCCAAGGUAAAAUUAAAUCCUAAGCCUAUCAAUGCUAAAAUUGAAAGUAGAUUACAUUGUACAGAUAAAGUAUGAAGCACAUCAUGUACAAGCCAUUUUCGCCCAUUGUGCAUUGUGAGUUGGUAAGUUCCUACUCCUAGGAUCUCUUCCUGUUCUCUGUUCCCCAUCAUGACAAAGUGUCUACCCAUUGGUAAAUGAUGGUAAUCUACAUAUCCUGCACGGUUGCAGGUUAUGUGCUUGGUUGCUCUUGUAUCUACAAUCCAACCAAGGAGAAAAUGAGCUAUAAACACAUGAUAACAUACAUAAGUUCUACAACGGAUUAGAGGAUGAGCCUUCGUAGGCCUAAUGCACUCUUAAGCAAAAUGUCCCUUUUUACCACAGUUAAAGCAUUUCAACUUGGACUUAUCCUUCUUUCCACCAUGCUUGCCUUUUUGGUGCUUGGUGACUCCAUCACUUUUUGGCCUUAUAUUUCUAGUAUUUCCCUUCUUUUGUUCCCUCUUUCAUUGAGGAACAUACCCUUUGUGAUUUCCAGCUUGAGCUAUCAGGGCAAUGUUGGGGAUAGCUCUUCUACGCUCUGUUUCAAGCUCUAGAUGGAAUGAAAUGUCAUCAAAAGUCUUUAUCCCUUCAUUGUGUGUUAAUACAAGUUUAACAUAUUACCAUGAGGACUCAGAGAGUGACCUGAUAAUAGCUAAGACCUGUUGCUCAUCUAUGAGAUCAUAGUGUCACACCCAAUUUCUGGGCCCUGACCGGCGUAAGGGCUUAAUAGGCAUAGCCCACUAAGCCCAAGCAAGCCUUGUUAUGCACUUCUGAUCAUCAUUUCGGUAAUCAUUCUUAAAGUCACAUGUCAUAAUUCUCGACUACCAAAUAUUCAAUGACACACUAUGGCAAUCAAAUACUCACAUUUGUAUUAUGCCAAAAUAAUGCCACCCAUUUUCCAACUCUUAGUGACAUCAGUAAUCAAGUAUACAUAUUUGACUUCUAACAUGGAUCCUAGGGGAUUACAUUACAUAUACGUGUUCACAGGCAACAGACUCUUGAUCGUCAGCAGAGUGACUUUGGGUGAAGGUACAGCUACUGAGAUGUCGUAGUACCUACCAAAAGACGGGCAUAUGUGGACAACUCAAUUUAGGUCCCAAUUGCAUCCGAAUAUGAAAACAUGAAGUUUUAAAAGAGUGAGUAUGAACUCAGUGAGUGAAUAUUAGAAGGGAACAAUCACACGAUAUGAAAAGUUUUAAAAUCAUAAUGCACUUUUGCUAAAACAAUGCAAUUUAACUUAAUUUCUUGUUAAAACCCCCUAUUUCAAAACUUUGAUUAGUAACCUCUUAGUGUUGAAAAACCCAUGAUCAACCAUGAAGAUAAAUCAGUGAAAACCAUAGUAAGAUGUAAACAAGGUAAACAUGAAAGAAGGAUUCUUGCUGCAGCGAAGAGGCAUUCUUACUAUAGCGAAAUUCAAAGCAAAGGUUUCUGAACCAAACCCGAGAGUUUCUCGUUGCAGCGAAAUUCAGACCAUGGAUUAAGGUUGCCUACCUGAGAGUUUCUCGCUACAGUGAAAAUGGAUCUCGCUGCAAUGAGAAACAGAGCAAUUUAGUUGAAGGGGUCUUGUUACAUCAAAAAGCCAUUUUCUUGUUGAAAUGAAAAGCGAUUUGGGAUCAAUUAACAAUGCCAACAUACAACACAAUCACAAAUAUUUUCAUAAACUUUCUAUAACAUAUAUAUAUAUAUAUAUACAUACAUCAUUAUGCAUACCAUCCCGCCACACUCAGCUCAUGUGCACUCCCUACACACACAAUGCAAUAUCAUCAUCAUCAACUCAUUGGCAUUCCCACACUGCACAUAGCUGGGUCAUCAUCAGCUCAUGUGCACUCCCGCACCGCACAUAGCUGGGUCAUCAUUUUCACACAAAAGGAACAUCCAAUGCAUAAUAUACAUAUCAAUAUAAUGUGAUAAUGCAUGAACUAUUCAUAUUGCACAUUUCACAAGAUAAAAACAUUUCAUCAAGGGCUUGUUCCCCAGGAAUAUUUUUAAACCAAAAACAAAUAAAACUUUCAAAUGAUUUAUUUAAACAUGUAGGCACUUCCCAACAUAUUUUGAAAUGCAAGUUCACUCACCUUACGAUAGUGGGAUAUUACAUCGCUAUUUGUUCGGAGGCGUAUCUAGUUAUUCCUACUUACCGAUCGUUCGUUAUUUCCCCCGACACACCACCACAGUACACUACCUUUACUAUUGCACUUCUUAGCAACAAUCCCAAUUCAAUAUCUUUAGCGUACAUCAUUUAUACUUCCUUUUUUUUUUCAAUUAUGGAUCCUUAUUCAACUUAACUUAUCUUGACACAAUUUUUACCAAAGUUGCUUUUAUCCCUUGCUUGCGUAAUUCUUUAAAUUAUGAUUACCGACAACUUGUUUAUGACUCCAACACAUAUAUUAAUCUUUUCUAAGGAUAUUUAUCAAGUUCAAUCAUCCUUUCCACAACAACCACAAUUUCUCACAAUAUGCCAUUUCAAAUGUCAACUACACAACAAUACCCAUUUUCUCAAGAUUCUUCAACUACACUUAAAACAUCAUUUGUUUUUACCUUUAUGGUUGCUUGACCUGUACUUGCACUCCAAUAUUCCUUCAAAACAUUAAUCAUGAAGUUGCCAAAAUGAUUCACACAUUAUUUCUCCAAAGAUUCAACCAACCAUUAGCUUAAAACACAAAAAUCCUUACCUUAGCUUGCUUGAAUUACAAAACCAAGCUUUUCUUCCUUUGUUUCUUUUUCUUUCUUCUUCUCAUAGGGUUUAGAUGUGCUGGAAAUUGGGGUUAGAAGCUAUAGGUUUAGUGCCCAAGAAGUUUGGAGAAGAAAGAAGUAAGAAAAGAAAGGAAAUGAAAAGAAACAAGGGAAAUCACAUGAAAAAAUUUAAUUUUCAUGAACUUGAAAUGAAAAUGGCAUUGGAAGCUUCAAGAAGAAGAAGAAAAUAUCUUGCUGGAGGAGAUAAGGAUGGUCAUGGCUGAUAAAAAUGAGAGUUGAAGCUUCCUUUGGAAGCUUUGACCAAACUUUACAUAAAAUUACCAUUUUACCCUCUAAGUUUCUUCCAUUUUUAAUUUAGUCCUCCCAACACUCUUUUAACUCUAAUUUCCUUCUAUUAUCUUCUUUUACAUAUGUACAAACGAAAUAUAAAGCUUGUAUUCCAACGCGGCGUCUCCAUAAUAUUUAAAAUAUAUAUAUUUUUUCCCUCGUUAGUUUUAUUUAAUAACGCGCGAGCCCCACUAGUUUCAUUUUUCUCUGAAAUUUCCUCGUUCUUCCUCUCCCCCACUUAGAUUAACCGUAUACUCCUUCUUCAUGAAAAAUUUCGACACUGAAUAAAAUAUUAAUAUUUUAAUAUUAUUUUAUUAAUAAAAUAUUAUUUUGUUCCAAAAUUUUUCACUUGUCUCCUUGGUACCCAAAAUACCUUAUUAUACCUCAAUUCACUUCCAAAUCACCUUUUAUCUCACAAAUUCUUCCUUGAUAAAAUAUUAUUAUUUUAUUAUCAUUUUCUCGAGUGUGAAAUAUUUUAUCUUAAAAUACUCUUUUCACCUUUUCUUACCUUUAAACAUUAUAAUUAACCUCAUUUGGGAUCCGAUAAGCUUUAUUAGCCACCAUGUCAAAGUACGUGGUAUUACAGUCUCCCCCAAUUAAAUAAAUUCGUCCUCAAAUUCUCCUCAAUGUCGAGUUGUUAAUCUCACUUAAUGAUCAUAUUCCAUUUCCUUCUUCGUAGGGAAUUUUGAUUUAUGCACUUUGCUACCUUCUAUUCGACAAGAACACUUUACAAGGUCAAGGUACGUAACUUAUAUCUAUUAUCCUUUGUUAGACAGAAUCACGAUACCCUUCACUAUUGUUCUUUCUUAUCAUUAAGAUCCCAAGUAUGGCUUUAAUUCCAUCACUAACCCCAAACAUAUCUUUAUUUCUACUCUUGUCAAACCUUUAGUCAUUCAUUCAUCUCGUUUACCUCUAGUUCGACUAGAAUAUCUCACUUAUGUCUAUUAUCAUCCUUUAUUAAUGUUGGUCCCAUUAAUAUGUGCUAAGGGGGGGUGAAUAGCAUAAUUUGGCUCUUGACAAGAUGUGGAGCUAAUUUUCAUAACUUAAGAAAGUAAAAACAGAGUAUAAGGUGCACAACAAUUUAGAGUGGUUCGGUCCAAGACUGUCAAACCCUGUUCUAUAAAAUAAUUACGACGUCAUUUACAUGCUCAAUAGAAUGGUUGCAUAUUUAUGAAGUUUGAGAAAUCGUUAAAAGAUGAUAUUGCCCAUAAUGGUAUCAUUAAGUCGAUUAAGCCUCGAAUUAGUUCAAAUAGGAAUUUCAAGGUGAAAUUAAGAGUUUCACAGUCCAGGGAUGACUCAAAAUGGUAAUUCAGAGUUCGAGGAUCAAUUUGGAGUCAAAUUGAAAUUUUCACUAUCUAUGGGCAAAAUGGUCAUUUGCCACUUAGGGACAAAAUGGAAAUUAUUAGAAAAGAUUUUUUGGCCCCAUUUGACUUAUUGGAGUAUGAUUUGAGUAUUGGAGUAUGAUUUGAGGUUUAGAAGUGAAAAAGUUUAAUUUUCGGUAUAAUUUGGAGCAUAUGGGUAAAAUGGUAAUUUUGCCAGCCCAUGGGCAAAACAGUAAUUUUUCACCACCAAGACAUUUGUCCAGCACAUGGUCUUCCCUUAUCCUCAUUUUGACCUUUGAGUAAUCAUGUGGUGGAGAUAAAAGGUUUAAAAUUUUUAAAGUUUUAAAAAUGGAUCAAUGGAAACAUGCCAUGUGUCAAACUUAGAAUAUUUUAUUAUUUUCUAUAAAAAUCAGCUUAUAAGCCCCUCAUUUCUCCCCACAUAUUCGGCCACACCAAGAACAAAAGGAAGAGAACAAACCGUAGGUGGGGAAUUUGAAGAGUAAAAGUGUGGGAAAUCAAGGAAAAUAAGUGGAAAAGGUAAGAUUUUUCAACUUAAGCUUGAAAUCUAUUUUCCUUAAGCAUUUCUCCAUAUUUUUCAUGCUUAAAUUACAUGUUUUCAUGAUGAAUUCAUGGCUGGUCAAAAUGGGUAUGGAGAGAGAAAGAUGUUGGAUUGAAUUGAUUUUAAGAUAUGUUAGUGUUUUUAGUUAGUUUAGCAUAUUUAGAAGCAAAACAACAAGAAAAGAAUCCAUUUUCCCCAUGAAUCUUCAUUGGCCGAAUCUUCCUUGAUGUGUGUGGGAGAUGGAUUGUUGUUAUUUCAAGAGAAAUGGCUUAGAAAAUGAUGAAUAAUGGUGAGAAAAUUAAGUAGGAAAAAUCACGGUGUUAGUGCACUAUAAUGGCCGAAUUUUUCCAUGAAGAAAUGGGAAGGUUUUGAUGCUGAAAUUGAUGUUAUUUGAAUAAUGUUUGGUGAAUUGAGGUAUUAGAAAAGAAAUGGAGCAAUUUGGAACCAAAUCGGACACAAUUGUCAUUUAAUCGGGUAAUAGGCCGAAUUAGGUCAGCACCGCAUUUAAACGGUAGUUGGAUAAGUUGCAUAUCAUAUCAUGCAUAUACACCGAGCCUGAAUUGAUUUUAUAAUGGUCAAGCAUUAAUGUGGUGAAUUAUGUAUUGUACAUUGUGGAUAGGUGGUGAGCAAAUUACACUAGUAAAAGUACAGAGAUUGUGCUUGAAGACUGGGAUUAGAAGUACAUCGACUACUAGAACUGUGAGUAAAUUUAUUAUCGUCUUAAUUAUCUAGAUUAGUUUUAUACAAUUGUGUAAUUUUAUAGAAAAUGGGUUUAAAUAGUAAAUUGCUAUGUUUUAGGAGAAAUUGUGAUUUUAUAAAAUGAUUUUAUAAAUUUUCUGAAAAAUUGAAUACUGGUUUUGAAAAUAGAGUAAUUGACGAUUGCCUGCUUGUGUUAUAAAUUGUGUUUUAAAUUAAAUGGCUUAUAGCAAUAUGUGAGCAUGAAUGGCAAAGUCGGUAUUUGUAUCAAAAUUAUAUAUACUACAUAUUCAGCCUUGAGAGGCUAGAUUACGAUAAAUUGCCAUGUCAUGCAGAUAAAGAUUUUAUAAAUCAGGUGGUAGAUAAAAUAAUCCAUAAUCCCUGUAGUGAAGGUUAUGUGGACCAGCCUAAGAGAGGGGGCACAGUAUCAGAUAUACCUUACCUCAAUCGGAGAGUCAUGUGAAAGGUGUCUCUGGAGGUAAAGAUUUGAGUGCACUUCACGUGGACCACCGCGUGAGAGUGAGACUCAGCCAACGCUAAGGCAUGGCUAGAAUUUCGGAUGUAAAGACAUUUAACAGCCUUGGUGGUCUCGAUCAGAUGCCUAGGCCAAGGCAUCCCCGGGAAUGAUUUUGGAAGGAGCCAAGUUUUGUGAGAUAUAUAAGUCAUGUUGAUUAAUUGAGUAAACUGAAUAUUCAUGUUAUGAAGCAUAUAUUGGAAAAGAAUAUUUUAAUUCGUCUCCAUUUACUCGCCUUUAGAUAGUUUAGAUGGUGUCUGUUUACUCACUGGGAUAUUAUAAUCUCAUCACUCUAAAUUCCCCACAUUUCAAGCUCAAGAUAGCCGGUAGAUAGCCGAUUGCAUCAAGGACUUAAGUUAGCCUUGCAUCGACAAAAUUGUAGGUUCACAGACUUGCACCUUAUUUGUUAGUUGGGGGCCUACGUGUCACUGUAAAAGUAAUUUUAUACUUCAGUUAUCUGCUUUAAAGUACGUAUGAAUAUAUUUAGCUUUUACACUAUAGCAAUUAAUUACGGAUUUCUUUAUAAAUAUUAUUUUUUUAUUUAAAAAAUAGAAUAUUUUAUUAAAUAUUAUUAUUUUAUUCAAACAAUUAUAAUUUCAUUUCAAAUAAUUAUUUUAGACAUCUAAAUUUACUUUUAAUUAUGAAACAUGUGUUUUUCGCCCAGACAUCAUGUUUUUUGCGGGUUUCCGUAUUUUUGAAGAAAAAUGAUGAAAAUGGCCCUGUGAGCCAGAAAAGACUAUUAUAUUGUUUUGAUUUGGAAACGACUUAUGAUUUCUUGAAAUGUGAGAUUUAAUAAUUGUCGCUCACCGGGGAGAUGCGAAAGAUGAUGCUAAGCCUUGCGGGGUUCCAAUCGACAUUCUGGGUAACAAAUGCCUAUCGAGACUUCACGACGGUUGUCAUAGGCCCGAUAGGAGUUCCAGGUCGUGACAAAGACCUACAUCCACUACCUUGAUUAUCCAACCAAGGAUUUUCCCAACGAUUCACUAAGAAUCCAGUGAAAUUCACAAGCUUUCACCAAGCUUUUACAAUGGCUUUUCUCAAGCUUAGCCAAAACCUUUACACUAGUUUUCACGGGCUCAACUAAAACCCAAAGUAGUUUUUCAAGGCUUAACCACAACCUAUAACAUUCAAGCUUUCCCAAGCUUGAACAAUCCUUUAAAGUGACACCCUCACUCUAAGUAUACAAGAAGAGAAGUUAAAGAAAGUACCUAUGAUCACAAGUUGAUCUGAUUGGUAGAAGAUUGAGUGCUAAAUACAAUGACAAAGAGUAGGGGUUUAAGUGCAGACAAAUGCAAUGAAGCUUUUCUGCUUUUUCUUCUUUCUAAAGCUCAAAUCUCAUUCAAGGCUUCAAAAAACUUAUUUCUCAUUGUUGGAAGACCCUAUUAUACUUGAAGAUGCAACUCUGAUGGCAGUUUGGCAGUUUAUAUCCGUUGGAAAUAGUUAAGGAUGAGUUCUACUCGUUAAUCUGUCUUGUCGUGCUCUAGUUCAAAUUGCAGACAGAGAGCUCUUAGUCGACUAACUUGGUUGACUAAGUUGAUUCUGUUUCUGGUUUGCAGAUUCUGACAGAGGGCACUUAGUCGGCUGACUUGGUUGACUAAGUUGGUUCUGUUUCUCAAACUCUUUAGCUCGCCAUUGCUCUAAUUUGAAUUUUUUGUCAACCAAUGUUCUUCCUUGUUUAACCAAUAAGCUUCCUCCUUGUUAUUCAGUUACAUUCUGUUGAUUUUAUCCUUUUUUUUCUUUCAAAAAUACUCUUUGAAGAUUUAAGAAAUUAAAUUCAUAUAUUAAUUUUCUGCACACUCAAAUACAGGAAUUAAACACAAAUAAAUGGGAAUGUUUUAUUAUCAUCAAAAACUAAUGGAGCCAACAAUCUCCCCCUUUUUGAUGAUGACAAAACACUCAUUGAUUAACAGUAUAGUGUCAUUUUAAAUUCUUUUUAGUUUUCUGCAGGAAUUGAGGAUUGCUCCCCCUAAGUAUAAACUCCCCCUUAGUGUGUGCAUAUUUUGCCUAUUUUAUUUCAGCCAGUUUUAUUCUCAUCAUAUAGAAAAUGAUAUUGUAUAUUUAGAGAAUAUAUAUGUGUAGCAAUAUAGAGUGAUUUGCAUCCAUAAUUUUUUAGCUACAAGUUUUGACAGAUUUUUAUCUAUGUUCCAGCAGCUGUCAACAGUCAAUUGAUUUCAGAUUAUGUCUACAUCAUCCACAUUUCAAUUGAUAUGCUAUAUGCUUCAUCUAUAACUUAUUCUCAUAAAACAUUAUAUAAACAUCAUCUAUUCAUCAUAUAAAUCCAUAUCAGCAUAUUAGCAGCAGAUUUUGUUUAUGACAGUCAAAAUAUCAAAAUAUAAGUAGACUUUAGUUUACAAUAGUUAAAUAUCAUAAACAUAUCAGCAUUCAUGUUUCACAUACAUCCACAUAAAUAACAAAAUUAGAGCUGAGUGUUUAAGUGCCACCAAGGCAGAAAUAACAGUUGAAUAAAAAGUAUUUCGAAAAUGCCCCUGGACUAGUUUUGCUUCCUAUCUCCUAUUUCUCUAAUUUCAUGCUCCCUUGGUUCUACUUUCUUUCCUUUCCUAGGUUCUUGGUUCCUCUACCCUAAUAUUUUUUAUUUUUUGAACAUUAUUCUUUAGUUUCUGCUCCCCCGGUACCAUACUACUCCCAUUUUUUGUCAACAUCAAAAGAGGGGGAUUCUACUCAUCGAAUGAAGCAGAGGGUGAGGAUUCACUUCCAAAGAAAGGGUUAAGAGGAAACGUAGAGGGUUCCUGGAGAGAAGAGACUGAAACUGGUUUGGACUUCUUUGCCAAUUUGGAAGACUUUCUUUUUUUGAGAAAGGCUGUCUUGGUUGCCAUAGUCUUCCUUCCUUUGGUUGGUUGUUUUGCCUUAGUUGGUGGUGCUGUGGUGGCUUCUGGUUUUCUUGUUUUUGCCUUUAGUUAGGAAGUUGAAGCAAGUUUCUUUCCUUUUCUUACAUUUGCACCAUCCUUCUAAGUUGCUAUCUUGACAGUGUCUUUAUCAGCUUGUUCCUCUCUGACCAUUUGAUGAAAAAUGUCCAUAAUGGAAACUUCCUCUAAAUUUGGAGAAGAGGCCUAAUGUUUCUCAGUUUCUGCACCAGCUACUUCAGUCCCUUGUUUUGAGUCAUUUUUGCUUUGAGGUUCAAGGGGGGGUGAUUUGGCUGGCUGUUCAACUCCUUGUGGGGAGUCCUCAAUUUGCAUAACAGGACUGGCAGACUUGUAGGUAAAGCCUUCAGCUUGAGUGUUAGAACUUUCAAACUUCUCUGCUGACUUUGCAGAACCUUCAGCACCUUGCUGUGCAAUUGCAGUGCUGGAUGUGGUAGAACUGUUUGCAGCCACAGGUUCAGACGCCAUGUUUUCUUUCUCCUCUAGCUUGUUUUCCAACUUAGUGAUUUUAUCUUCCAUCUUCUAUAGCUUCACUCCUUGGUCAGUCAGCUUACCAUCAAUCCUCAUAAGUAGAUUAAAAAUCAUCUCAUUCGAAAAUCUAGAAGAAGCUUCUUCAGGUUGAGCAAGCAGACUGUGAUCUUUUCUUGGGCCAGUUUUGGAGGUUUUAAUGAACUUCUCUCCAUCGAGCACAUACCCCAUCUUAACUAAGCUGCCAUAAUAAAUGGCUUGGUUUCUAGUUUUCACCAGGUCCAUAUCAUACCUUUUAGCCCAUAUGUCUUUCUUUUGCAUAAAGGAUGUAAUCAUAUUCCCGUAUGGCAGAUUUACCUUAUCAAGUCUGCAGGCACUUCUCAUUUUCUCAAUCAUAAAUCUCCCCAGAUUUAGAGACAUUCCAUUAAAAGCAUGCUCCAUAAGCCAGAGAUCCUAGAGGCUAAUGUAGCUAAGACUUUCACUCCUCCCUUGAAUAUUUGCUGUAAUGAAGUAAUGCAGUAUCCUAAUCUGUGGAUUGAUUAUUAGACCUGAAUUACUUUUAGAAGAGUAUUUUUCUUUCCUUUCAGUGAUGAUCUCCCACAAUGAGGACGGAUUAUAUUUUUCUGGAAGUUCAAAUUCAUCUACUUCACCCUCUAAUUUCAGCAGAUUCCCUAAAUCUCCAGCAGUCACAACAAACUCUUUUCCAUUCAAAUAGACAUUCAAGCCAUCUUCUACAUAGUCAUCAGAAUCUAUUAAUUCCUUUUCUUUCAAAGCAAUGCCAGAGUAAAAUUCUUUAACCAGACUUGGCUUAUAUGACCUAUUCUUAAAGGUGCUGUAACCUUUAAGUUUCAGCUCAUCAAAGUACUCAGAUAGACUGGUCUAGAUUUCUACAUUUUCCUUAAAACUCUUCCAAUCAAUAAACUUUUCGCAGGAGAUUGGUGCAUUUUCUAUAUUCUUGAAUCUAUAUUCAUGCAACUUAUUUCUAAAUUUCGAAGAAGAAGAGGAACUGAUACCUUUUUGGAGUGAAGGUUCUGUAUCUUUCUUCUUGUGUAUUCUCUACUUGUUUUCUCUUAGUUUCUCGACUAUUUCCUUCACUGAGGCAGGCAUAAUUUUCUGUUUCUUUUUCUGACUUUCUGUUCCAGUUUCUUCCUCCAUUGGCCUUUUUCCUUUCUUCUUCUCUGAUACAUCUUUACUCUAAGAUGUUCUAGCCAUUUUGGUUCUAGAAAUUUCUAAAGAUCUGAGUUAGUUUUAGAGGCAAGAAAAAAAGAUUUAGGUUUUUGUUUUCAGAGCAACGAGUUGCAGAGGAGAGGGAAGAAGAGGUUGGCAGCAGUUAUUGCUCAGAAAACUUCGCAUCUUCCUUUAAGAACCGCCCUACUUUUAUUUCUUUAUAUUUUCAAAUCUCCCUUUAAAAUUUUGAUUAUUUACCUUUGGCAACUCUGCUUUAUUCCUCUUUUCACCUAGUAAAUCAAAUUUUUACUACAAUUUACUCCUAUUUCAUUAAAGUCACUGAGUCUUAUUAUUUAAAGAUGUCAGGCCACUCUUAGUUGACUAAGAAUUUCUUAGUCGACUGAAUGCAUUCUGUUUUCAAUGUGAGAGUCAAAGAUUUUCUUAUAAUUCCUUCACAUUAACCAUCCCCAAAUUUCUUCUAAUCUCACAAGAUCUAUCUUCACUCAGUGGUUUGGUAAAAAUGUCUGCUAAUUGAUGUAGAGUAUUCACAAAAUAUAUUUUAAUGUCAUUUUUCACUACAUGGUGUCUAAUUUCAAUGUGCUUUGUUUUAGAAUGUUGUAUUGGAUUUUUUGAUAUGUUGAUUGCACUUUUAUUAUCACAGUAUAUCGGUACAUUAUGCAUAGUUAUUCCAUAGUCUUUUAAUUGUUGCUUGAUCCAAAGGAUUUGUGCAUAACAACUACCUAAUGAUACAUAUUCAGCCUCUGCUGUAAAUAGUGCUACUGAGUUUUGCUUCUUGCUGGACCAAGACACAAGCAUCCUUCCUAGAAAUUGGCAUAUUCCACUAGUGCUUUUCCUAUCAAUUCUGCUCCCAGGAAAGUCAGCAUCUGAAUAUCCAACUAAGCUAACAGUUGAGUUUCUAGAGUACCAUAUUCCUAGUUCUUAAGUGUCUAUGAGGUAUCUAAAAAUUCUCUUAACAGCUGUUAGGUGUGAUUCUUUAGACUAUGACUGAAAUCUAGCACACAAGCACACAUAAAACUGAAUGUCUAAUCUACUUGUUGUUAAGUAAAGAAGAGAGUCGAUCAUACCUCUAUAGAGCUUUUGAUCUACAUCUUUACCUUUUUCAUCUAAAUCGAGUUUGGUGGAUGUACUCAUUGGUGUGGAAAUUGAUUUCAGCUUUACCAUAUCGAACUUCUUGAGCAUUUCAUGAGUACAUCUUUCUUGGUUGAUGAAGAUUCCUUCCCACUUUGUUUGAUUUAAAGACCAAGGAAGUACUUCAACUCUCCCAUCAUGCUCAUCUCAAAUUCACCCUGCAUUUUCUUUGCAAAGUUCUUGCAUAAAGCUUCAUUAAUUGCACCAAAUACAAUAUCGUCCACAUAUAUUUGCACAACAAUUAAAUCAUUUAGAUAUCUUUUUAUGAACAAUGUAGUAUCGAUGCUGCCUCUAUCAUAUCCUUUCUCAACUAAAAAUUUUGAAAGCCUCUCAUACCAAGCUUGUCAAGCCCGACUCUACAAUAUGUUUAUUAUGCCAUUCUUACAUAAGAAUGCAUGUUUGCUUGCUUGGGUACCUUGGAAAUUGUUAAAGGACGAUAUUGUACCAAAUGGUACAAUUAAGUUGAAUUAAGCCUCAAACUAGUAUGAAUAGAGAUUUUAAGAUGAAAUUGAGAAUUUUAAAAUCCUAGAAUGACAUAAAUGGUGAUUCGAAGUUCGAGGACCGAUUUGGAGUCAAAUUAGAAUUUUCAUGACCUAGGGGUAAAAUGGUCAUUUUGCCACCCUAGGUUAAGAUGUGAGUGUUGGCUGAAAUUUUUGACUAAGAUUGAUCAUUGGGAGUAUAAUUUGAGUUUGAGAAGUGAAGAAUUUUAAUUCUGGCAUUUUUUCGAGCAUAAGGGUAAAAUAAUCAUUUUACCACCCAGGGGCAAAAUUGUAAUUUUACACCACCCAACACUUGUCCAGCACAUGGAUUUUACCCAAUAUUAUCAUGGAUAAUUGAGAAAAUUUAAGUGGUGGAGAGAGAUUGCUUAAUGGCUAAGUAUGACACAUGGACCAAUGAAAUGGUGACAUGUAUCAAAAUCUCAUCCAUUCAUUAUUUUCCUUAUAAAUUAGCAUAAAAUCAGCCCAUUUCUCAUUCAUAUGGCCAACCAAAGAAGAACAAAGGGAGAAAAGAAAGAACAAGAACCCUAGGGUGAAAAUUCAAGAGAAAAAUUGGUGGAUUCCAAGUAAUCAAGCAAUCAAAGGUAAAAUUUCUUGAUUUUGACUUGUGAUCUACCUUUCUCAUGCAUUAUUUUGCAUUUUUCAUGGUUGAAUCACAAGAUAUCAUGAAGAAUUCAUGGCUAGCCGAAUGGGUAUGGAGAGAGAAUGAUGUUGGAUUGAUUUGAUUUCAAGUUAUGUUAGUGUUUUUAGUUAGUUUACCAUGUCUAGAAGCAAAACAAUAAGAAAAGAAUUCAUUUUCCCCAUCACCCAUCAAUGGCCGAACCUAUCUUGUAUUGAGUGAGGAUGAAUUUGAUUUUUAUUUUAAGAGAAUUGGUUAGAAAAUGAUGAAUUAUGGUGUGGAAAAGUAGUAGGAAAAAUCACAGUGUUAAUGCACCAUUAUUGAUCGAAAAUUCUAAGAAAAAAAGUGAAGAUGGUUUUGCCAAAUUUUAGGUUAUUUGACUUGUGUUUGGUGAAUUAAGGUAUUGGAAAAGAAAUGGAGCAAUUUGGAGCUAAAUUGGAUGCGUUGGCCAAUUAAUCGGGUGAUAAGACGAAUUAGGCCAAUAUCGGGUUUAGAUGGUUACCCGUGCAUUUUGCAUUCUAUAUCAUGCAUUAGUAGUCUAAAUUAGUUUAAUUUCGAUUUAGUACCAAUGUAGUAAGUUUCUCGAUUUUGUACUAUGUCAAGGUGGUGAGUCCUCCGAUAAAGGCAAGGAAAUUGCAUCUGAGGACCAGUAGUUAGAGUACUUUGAAAAUCCGCACUCUAGACAUUAUGAGUUACCUUACUAUCGUCUUAAUUAUCUAAAGUGGUUUUUAUCCGAUUUUGUGAAUUUCAUGGAAAAUGAAUUAAAUGAUUAAUUUUUUGAUUUUAUAAACAAAAUGUGAUUUAAUGAAAUGAUUUUAUAAAUUUGUUUUAAAAUUGAAUGAUGGUUUGAAAAUAGAGUAAUUGGAGAUUGUUUUUAUGUGUUGUAAAUUCAUAACUCUAAUUGAUUGGCUUAUGACAAUAUUGGCAUGAAUGGCUGAAUUGGUAUUUGUGUUGAAAUGUAUAAACUGUUGUUUGCCUUGAUAGGCUGGAUAGUAAUGAAAUCGCCAUGUCAUGCAGUUGAAUUUUUAUUGAUUUGGUGGAUAUCAAUUAGCUUACUAUAGUGGGUGGGUUUCUGUGGACCAACCUAUUAGAGGGGCACGGUAAACCCUGUUAUAUCUUACCUCAGUAUGAGAGGCGCGGGUGGAUAACUCCUUAGGUUAACACUUUAGAGUUCACUUCACGUCAAACCACCACGUGAGGGGGAACUCAGUCAACGCCAAGGAACGACUAUGUUUUCAAAAUAAAAACAUGAUUUAUGCGUACAUAACUUUUUAACAGCCUUGGCGGACUCGGUUGGGAUAGCCCUCGAUCAAGGCAUCCCUGAUAACUAGGUAUGAGAAUGAUUUUGGCACAAACCAAAGCUUUUAAGAAAUUCAUAAGCCAUGUUGAUUACUCGAUUUAUAUGAAUCGGUUUUAUUUGGUUGAAAUGAGUUGAAAGGUAAUGAAUUACAGUAUAUUAAAUUAUUUUAUCUGUCUCUAUUUACUUGGUUUUAGAUAUUUUAAAUGGUAUUUGUUUACUCACUGGGAUUAUAUAAUCUCACCACCUUCCUUUCCACCCAUUUCAGGCUCAAGAUAGUCGGUAGAUAACUCAUUUUGUUGAGGGCUACAGUUAGACUUGCACCCUCAAAACUGUACGUUUAAUGCUUUUAAUACUUUUGGUCGUUCAUGGGCCCACUUGUUACUGUAAAUUAAAUUAAAUACUCUGGCUUACUGUAUUACGAUAUAUAUGAAUUUAUUUUACUUUUACACUGUAAAAAUUAUUUAUGCAGUGUUCUAAAAAUAUUGUUUUAUGAGAAAAUUGAAUAUUUUAUUCUAUAUUUUUAUUUUAUUCUAAUAAUCAUAAUUUCAUUUUAAAUGAAGGUUUUAGAUGUUUAAACUUAUUUUUUAUUAUGAAUUAUGUGUUUUGUACUUGCAUACUACAUUUUUAGUGGAUUUCGAGAUUUUUGAAAAAAAAUGACCAAAAUGCCCUUGUGAGAAAAAAAAAUAAUUUUCUAUUGUUUCGAUUUGGACAUAGUUUAAAAUAUUUUAGAACGUAAUAUUUGACAACGGUUAAUCACAAGGGAAAUGAGAAGCUGAUAUUAAAGCCUUGUGGGGUUCCGAUUGACAUUUCGGGUAAUGAGUGUCGAUCGAGAUAUCGCGGCGAUUGUCACGGGCUCAAGGGGAGUUUCGGGUCGUGACAAAGCUCUAGGAGCUUGUUUCAAUCUAUACAAUACUUUGUGAAGCUUAAAGACAUGAUCAGAUUUUUCAGAAUCUUUAAAACCAGGUGGUUGUUCUAUAAAAACUUCUUCUUGAAUUAAUCCAUUUAAGAAUGCACUUUUUACAUCCAUUUGGUACAACUUAAAAUUCAUGAAGCAUGCAAAGGCUAGCAACAACCUUAUGGCUUCAAUCCUAGCUACGGGAGCAAAGGUUUCAUCAUAAUCUAUUCCUUCUUCUUGGUUGUAACCUUUUGCUACCAGCCUAGCUUUGUUUCUGACUACAUUUCCUUGCUCAUCUACUUUAUUUCUGAAUACCCAUUUAGUACCAACAAUAAGAUGAUUUGAAGGUCUAGGUACCAAUGACCAUACAUGAUUCCUAGUGAAUUGAUCAAGUUCUUCUUGCAUGGCCAUUAUCCAACUUUCCUCCUUUUUAGCUUCUUCAAAGUUUUUAGGUUCAAUUUGAGAUAUAAAAGUUGAAAACUCACAAGUUUCUCUAGUUGCUUUCCUAGUUCUAACUCCUUGUGAAAUGUCACCUAUUAUUUGGUCUUGUGGGUGAUCUUUUACAAAUCUCAAACUCCUUGGUAGAUCAUCAUGCUGAUUUUCUACUCUUUGUAGAUUUCCUAGAAAUGGAGUUUCAUUUUCUCUUCUAGCUGAGCUUUCUUCAUUAUUUUUAUUGUUCUCUAAGCUCAUUUCCUCCAUUUGUUUUUCUAGGAUUUCUAUAUCGUCAUCAUCAUCAUGAACUUCUUUUUGUAAUGCAUUUGACUCAUCAAAAACUACAUGGACUGAUUCUUCAACGGUAAGGGUCCUUUUAUUAAAAGCUCUAUAGGCCUUUGAGUUUAAUGCAUAUCCUAACAAUAUUGCUUCAUCACUCUUUGCAUCAAACUUCCCUAGGGGCUGUUUUCCAUUGUUCAAUACAAAGCAUUUACAGCCAAAACUCCUAAGGUGAGAAAUAUUUGGUUUCCUACCUUUGUAAAGUUAAUAUGGAGUCAUUGAAAUCACAGGUCUUAUUGAGACUCUAUUAAGGAUAUAAGCUGCUGUAUUUAUUACCUCAGCCCAAAGAUAUUUAGGUAGGUUGUUCUCACAUAACUGUUGGCUCCAUUAGUUUUUGAUGAUAACAAAACAUUCCCAUUUAUUUGUGUCUAAUUCCUUUACUUAAGUGUGCAAAAAAUUAAUACAUGAAAUUAAUUUCUUAAAUCUUCAAAGAGUAUGUUUGAAAGAAAAAGAGGGAUAAAAUCAAUAAGAUGUAACUAAAUAACAAGGAGGAAGGUUGUUGGUUUAACAAGGAAGAACAUUGGUUGACCAAAUUUCAAAUUGAAAAAAUGACGAGCUGAAGAGUUUGAGAAACAGAACCAACUUAGUCAAUCAAGUCAGUCGACUAAGUGCCCUCUGCAAACCAGAAACAGAAUCAACUUAGUCAACUAAGUUAAUCGACUAAGAGCUCUUUGUUUACAAUUUGAACCAAAACACUACAAGACAGAUUAACAACUAGAAUUCAUCCUCAACUGUUUCCAACGGAUAUAAACUGCCAAACUGACAUCAGAGUUGCAUCUUCAAGUAUAAAAGGGUUCAACAAUGAGAAACAAGUUUUUAGAAGCCUUGAAUGAGAUUUGAGCUAUAAAAAGUUGAAAAACCAGAAAAGCUUCAAUGCACUUGUCUGCACUUAAACACUCAUCUUUCGUAAUUGUGUUUAGCACUCAAUCUUGUACAAUUCAGAUCAACUUGUGAUCGUAGGUACUUUCUUUAACCUCUAUUCUUGUAUACUUAGAGUGAGGGAGUCACUCUAAGGGGUCGUUCAAGCUUGGGAAAGGUUGAAUGUUAUAGGUUGUGGUUGAGUCUUGGAAAACCACUUUGGGUUUUAGUUGAGCCCGUGAAAAAUUAGUGUAAAGGUUUUGGUUGAGCCUACGAAAAGCCAUUGUAAAAGCUUAGUGAAAGCUUGUAAAUUUCACCAGAUUCUUAAUGAAUCGUUGGGAAAAUCCUUGGUUGGAUAAUCAACGUAGUGAAUCUAGGUCUUAGAUCGAACCACUCUAAAUUGUUGUGCACCUUAUACUCUGUUUUUACUUUCUUAAGUUUUGGAAAUUAGUUCCACACUUUGUCAAGAGCCAAAUUGUGUUAUUCACCCCCACUAUAACACAUAUUAACGGGACCAACAAUUGGAAUCAGAGCAAGUACCAUGUUUUUAAGGCUUAACAUCCUUUAGGAGGAUCCAAAUGGCUCAACAAAAAACCAUAGUUGCUGAAGGAAAAUCAACAAACAGACCACCUCUAUUUGAUGGAUCUAAUUAUCCUUAUUGGAGCACCAGAAUGUCAAUCUAUAUUAGAGCUAUAGAUUAUGAAAUGUGGGACGUCAUAACUGAUGGACCCUUUAUGCCCUCAACCGUGAAUGUAGUAACAAAUGAGUUGAUGCCCAAGCCAAGGUCCGAAUAGACUGAGGCUGAAACUAAGAAAGUUCAAGUAAACUUUAAGGCCAUCAACACAUUACAUUGUACCUUGACCCCCACUGAAUUUAACAAAGUCUCAAGCUGUACAACAGCUAAACAAGUGUGGGAAAAACUUAGAAUAAUCCGUGAAGGGACUUCUCAAGUAAAGGAGUCCAAAUUGCUUUCUUAACACAUAGUUAUGAAAUGUUCAAAAUGGAGCUUGGUGAAGACAUCACCAGCAUGUUUGAUAGGUUUACAAACAUUACAAAUAAAUUAAGUAAGCCAGGCAAGCUUAUCCCUGAACAUGGAUUAGUUAAAAGACUGCUUAGAUGCCUACCAAAAUCUUGGAAACCAAAAGUGACUGCGAUUAGAGAGGCUAAAGAUCUGAACAUCAUCACCCUCGAUGAGAUAUGUGGUUCUCUUCUCACUCAUGAGUUGAAGCUUAAGGAAGAAGAAAACAGAAGGGAAGCAAAGGAAAAGAAAAAGAGCAUUGCACUUAAAGCCAUCAUUCUUGAAGAAGAGCUAGAAGAGCUUUCCUGUGAUGAUGAUGAAGAUUUAGCUAUAGUUGCAAGAAAAUUCAGAAAACUAAUGAGCAGAAGAAAUCAAAGGCUAACUAGAAGAGGUUUAAGGAAAGACCAAGGUGCUUCAUGGAAAAUAAGGAAUAAAAAUGACUCCAACUAAAAGGAAGAGAUGAUCUGCUACAAAUGCAAGAAACCUGGUCACUUCAAGUCCGAGUGUCCACUACGGAAAGAUGAAACCCUUAAAAAAAAUAAGAGAUCCAAGAAAGCAAUGGUGGCUGCUGCAUGGUCAGAUAAUGACACAUCAAGCUCUGAAACUAAUGAUGAAAAUCUGAGGAAAGAGCAAACAUCUGUUUAAUGGCACAAGAGGAUGAAACAGAGGUACCUUCAUCCUCCUGCAUUAAUUCUUAUGAUGAUUUACAAGAUGAAUAUGAAUGCCUUUAUGAUGAAUUUGAAAAACUUUUUUCAAAAUACAAGUCAUUGAAGAAAAAGGCUACAUUACUUGAAAAUGAUUUGGAACAAAUCAAACAAGAGUUCACCUCUGUUUUUGAGCAAAGAAAUAUUUUUCAAGCUAAGUUAGAACACUCAAAAACAAACUUUGAGUCUUUAAAACAAGAGCUGGAAAAUAAGUUUGAAGCCUUGCAAAUAACUCUUGAUGAAAACACAGCUCUUAAAUGCUUGAAACAUGAAUCUUAAAAAAGAUAUGCAUACCACAAUAAAUAUUCAGCUAAAGCAUUACCUAGAUGUUAUAAUUGUGGUAAACAUGGUCAUUUGUCAUAUGACUAUUUUGAGAAAAAAAAAAGUGCAGAAAGUUAAGAAAAUUUGGGUUUCUAAGGGAUCCUUUGCUGCAACUAACACUCAAGGACCCAUCAAAGUAUGGGUACCUAUAAAGAAAAACUGAAAUUCUAUUUUGUAGGUUUAGCUGAACUUAAAAGAGACAUGUUCAAGAGCUUACCUUAAGAAGAAACAACCUUGGUAGUUGGAUAGUGGCUGUUCACGGCACAUGACAGGACAUGAAGAGCUGUUUGCUCAGUUGGAAAAGAGAAAGGGAGGAACCGUAUCCUUUAGAGAUGAUUCAAAAGGCAAAAUCCAUGGUAUAGGUACGGUUGGUACGAGUUCCCAAACUCAAAUUAGUCAUGUGUUGUUAGUUAAAGGCUUAAAGCACAAUCUACUAAGUAUUAGUCAAUUAUGUGAUAAAGGAUUUAAAGUAUGUUUUGAUUCAACUAAGUGUGAAGUGAUUGAUAUAAGUAUAAAUAAAAUCUCAUUUAUAGGAAAAAGGUUUAAGAACAUGCAUGUAAUUUUUCUUGAAGACGUUAAUGUGAAUAGUUAAGUAUGUUUUGCUGCAAAUACUAAGAAUGAUAGCUGGUUACGGCAUAGGAGAUUAGGACAUGUAAGCAUGCAUACUAUGUCUAAAUUAAUAAAGAAAAAUCUUGUUGCUGGACUGUCGAAAUUGAAAUUUGAAAAAGAUAGGAUAUGUGAUGCUUGCCAACUAGGAAAACAAGUUAGAACAUCCUUUAAGACUAAGAAAAUAGUGCCAACAUCGAGACCUCUUGAAUUGUUGCACAUUGAUUUAUUUGGUCCAAUAAGCACAACUAGCUUAGGAGGUAAAUCUUAUGGCUUUGUAAUAGUCAAUGACUAUUCUAGCUAUACUUGGGUAUACUUCCUUGCUCAUAAAAAUGAUGCUCUACAAGCAUUCUUAAGUUAUUGUAAGAAAGUAAAAAAUGAAAAAGGACUCGCCAUAGUUAGCAUAAGGAGUGACCAUGGAGGAGAAUUUGAGAAUGAUGAGUUUGAAAAAUUUUGCAAUGAAAAGGGGUUGGAUCACAAUUUUUCUGCACCUAGAACACCCUAGCAAAUUGGAGUUGUAGAGAGGAAAAACAGAACAUUAAAAGAAAUGGCUAGGAGCAUGUUAUGUGAGAACAACCUAUCUAAAUAUCUUUGGGCUGAGGCAGUAAAUACAACAUCUUAUAUCCUUAAUAGAGUCUCAAUAAGACCCUUGAUUUUAAAGACUCCAUAUGAACUUUACAAAGGUAGGAAACCAAAUAUUACUCACCUUAGGAGUUUUGGCUGUAAAUAUUUUGUAUUGAAUAAUGGAAAACAGCCCCUAGGAAAGUUUGAUGCGAAGAGUGAUGAAGCAAUAUUUUUAGGAUAUGCAUUAAACUCAAAGGCUUAUAGAGCUUUUAACAAAAGGACACUAACCGUUGAAGGAUCAGUCCAUGUAGUUUUUGAUGAGUCAAAUGCAUUACAAAAAGAAGUUCAUGAUGAUGAUGAUGAAAUAUAAAUCCUAGAAAAACAAAUGGAGGAAAUGAGCUUAGAGAACAAUAAAAAUAAUGAAGAAAACUCAUCUUGAAGAGAAAAUGAAACUCCAUUUCUAGGAAAUCUGCAAAGAGCAGAAAAUUAGCAUGUUGAUCUACCAAGGAGUUAGAGAUUUGUAAGAGAUCACCCACAAGACCAAAUAAUAGGUGACAUUUCACAAGGAGUUAGAACUAGGAAAGAAACUAGAGAAACUUGUAAGUUUUCAGCCUUUAUAUCUCAAAUGGAACCUAAAAACUUUGAAGAAACUGAAAAGGAGGAAAGUUGGAUAAUGGCCAUGCAAGAAUAACUUGAUCAAUUCACUAGGAAUCAUGUAUGGUCAUUGGUACCUAGACCUUCAAAUCAUCCUAUUGUUGGUACUAAAUGGGUAUUUAGAAAUAAAAUAGAUGAACAAGGAAAUGUAGUUAGAAAAAAAGCUAGGCUGCUAGCAAAAGGAUACAACCAAGAAGAAGGAAUAGAUUAUGAUGAAACCUUUGCUCCCGUAGCUAGGAUUGAAGCCAUAAGGUUGUUGCUAGCUUUUGCAUGCUUCAUGAAUUUUAAGUUGUACCAAAUGGAUGUAAAAAAUGCAUUCUUAAAUGGACUAAUUCAAGAGGAAGUUUUUGUAGAAUAACCACUUGGUUUUGAAGAUUUUGAAAAAUCUGAUCAUGUCUUUAAGUUUAACAAAGCAUUGUAUGGAUUAAAACAAGCUCCUAGAGCUUGGUAUGAGAGGCUUUCAAAAUUUCUAGUUGAAAAAGGAUAUGAUAGGGGCAGCAUCGAUACUACAUUGUUCAUUAAGAGAUAUCUAAAUGAUUUAAUUGUUGUGCAAAUAUAUAUGGAUAAUAUUGUAUUUGGUGCAACUAAUGAAGCUUUAUGCAAGAACUUUGCAAAGGAAAUGCAGGGUGAAUUUGAGAUGAGCAUGGUGGGAGAGUUGAAGUACUUCCUUGGUCUUCAAAUUAAGCAAAAUGAGGAAGGAAUCUUCAUCAAUCAAGAAAGAUAUACUCAUGAUAUGCUCAAGAAAUUUGAAGUACUUCCUUAGAUUUCAGUCACAACCUAAGGAAUCAUACCUAACAGUUGUUAAGAGAAUUUUUAGAUACCUCCUAGACACUCAAGAACUAGGAAUAUGGUACUCUAGAAACUCAACUCUUAACUUAGUUGGAUAUUCAGAUGCUGACUUUGCUGGUAGCAGAACUGAUAGGAAAAGCACUAGUGGAACAUGCCAAUUUUUAAGAAAGAUGCUUUUGUCUUUGUCCAGCAAGAAGCAAAACUCAGUAGCACUAUCUACAACAAAGGCUGAAUAUGUUUCAUUAGGUAGUUACUGUGCACAAAUCCUUUGAAUCAAGCAACAAUUAAAAGACUAUGGAAUAAUUAUGCAUAAUGUACCAAUAUACUGUGAUAACACAAGUGUAAUCAAUAUAUCAAAAAAUCUUGUGCAACAUUCUAGGACUAAACACAUUGAAAUUAGACACCAUUUUAUUAGAGACCAUGUAGUGAAAAAUGACAUUAAAAUAGACUAUGUGAAUACUCUACAUCAAUUAGCUGACAGUUUUACCAAACCACUGAGUGAAGAUAGAUUUUGUGAGAUUAGAAAAAAUUUGGGGAUGGUUCAUGUGAAGGAAUUAUAAGAAAAUCUUCGGGUCUCACAUUGAAAAUAGAAUGCAAUCAGUCGACUAAAGAAUCCUUAGUCAACUAAAAAUAGCCUGACAUCCUUAAAUAAUAAGACUUAGUGAGUUUAAUGAAAUAGGAGUAAAUUAUGAUAAAAAUUUGAUUUACCAGAUGUAAAGAGGAAUAGAACAGAGUUGCCAAAGGUAAAUAAUCAAAAUUUCAGAGGGAGAUUUGAAAAUAUAAAGAAAUAAAAGUAGGGCGGUUCUUAAAGGAAGAUGAGAAGUUUUCUAAGCAAUAACUGCUGCCAACCUCUUCUUCUUUCUCUUCUGCAACCCGUUGCUCUCUAAAAACAAAAACCUAAAUCUUCUUGGUUGCCUCUAAAACCAACUCAAAUCUUCAAAAAUCUCUAGAACCAAAAUGGCUAAAGCAUCUCAGAGUAAAGAUGUAUCAGAGAAGAAGAAAAGAAAAGGCCAAUGGAGGAAGAAACUGGAACAGAAAGUCAGAAGAAGAAACAAAAAAUUGUGCCUACCUCAGUGAAGGAAAUAGCCGAAAAACUAAGAGAAAACAAGCAGAGAAUACACACGAAGAAAGAUAUAGAACCCUUACUCCAAAAAGGUAUCAGUUCCUCUUUUUCUUCGAAAUUUAGAAAUAAGCUGCAUGAGUUUAGAUUCAAGAAUAUAGAAAAUGCAGUAAUCUCCUGUGGAAAGUUUAUUGAUUAGAAGAGUUUUAAGGAAAAUGCAGAAAUCCAGACCAGUCUAUUUGAGUACUUUGAUGAGCUUAAGCUUAAAGGUUAUAGCACCUUUAAGAAUAGGUCAUAUAGUCCAAGUCUGGUUAAAGAAUUCUACUCUAGCAUUGCUCUGAAAGAAAAGGAAUAAGUAGAUUCUGAUGACUAUGUAGAAGAUGGCCUGAAUGUCUAUUUGAAUGGAAACGAGUUUAUUGUGACUGUUGGAGAUUUAGGGAACUUGCUGAAAUUAAAGGGUGAAGUAGGUGAAUUUGAACUUCCAGAAAAAUAUGAUCCAUCCUCACUGUGGGAGAUCAUCACUAGAAGGAAAGAAAAAUACUCCUCUAAAAGUAAUUCAGGUCUAAUAAUCAAUCCACAUAUUAGGAUACUGCAUUACUUCAUUGCAGCAAAUAUUCAAGGAAUGAGUGGAAGUCUUAGCUACAUCGGCCUCCAAGAUCUUUGGCUAAUGGAGCAUGCUUUUAAUGGAGUGUCUCUAAAUCUGGGGAGAUUUAUGAUUGAGAAAAUGAGAAGUGCCUGCAGACUUGAUAAGGUAAAUAUGCCAUAUGGGAAUGUGAUUACAUCUCGUGUAGAAGAAAAGAAUAUGGGCUAAAAGGUAUGAUAUGGAUCUGGUGAAAACCAGAGACCAAGCCAUUUAUUAUGGCAACUUAAUUAAGAUGGGGUAUGUGCUCGAUGGAGAGAACUUUAUCAAAACCUCCAAAACUGGCCCAAAAAAAGAUCAUAGUCUGCUUGCUCAACCUAAAGAAGCUCCUUUUAAAAUUUUGAAUGAGAUGAUUUUUAAUUUGCUUAUGAGGAUUGAUGGUAAGUUGACUGACCAAGGAGUGAAGCUACAAAAAAUGGAAGAUAAAAUCACUGAGUUGGAAAACAAGUUGAAAGAGAAAGAAAACAUGGCGUCUAAACCUGUGGUUGUAAACAGUUUUGCCACAUCUAGCACUGCACUUUCACAGCAAGGUGCUGAAGGUUCAGCAGAGCCAGUAAAGAAGUCUGCAAGUUCUAGUACUCAAGCAGAAGGCUCUACUUACAAGUCUACCAGUCCUGUUCUGCAAACUGAGGACUCCCCAUAAGGAGUUGAACAGCCAACCAAAUCACCCUCCCCUAAACUUCAAAGUAAAAAUGACUCAAAACAAGGGACUAAAGUAGUUGGUGUAGAAAUUGAGAAACAGCAAGCCUCUUUUCUGAAUUCAAAGGAAGUUUCCAUUAUGAACAUUUUUCAUCAAAGGGUCAGAGAGGAACAAGUUGAAAAAGACACUGUCAAGACAGCAACUCAAAAGGAUGGUGUAAAUGUAAGAAAAUGAAAUAAACCUGCUUCAACUCCUAAACUAAAGGUAAAAACAGGGAAACCAGAAGCUACCACAACACCACCAGUUGAGGCAAAACAACCAACCAAAGGAAGGAAGACUAUGGCAACCAAGACUACUUUUCUCAAAAGAAGAAAGUCUUUCAAAUUGGCAGAGAAGUCCAAACCAGUUUCAGCCUCUUCUCCUCAUAGUUCAAUUCAUGUUUCAGACAAAUCUUCUCCAAACUCCUCUCCUCGAAAGUCAUCUCCUAUUCGAAAACCCUCUCUGUUUCCUUUUCACUCUUUCUAUGGAAAUGAAUCCUCUCCCUUUGCUUCAUCCAAUGAGUAGAAUCCCCCUCAUUUGAUGCUGACAAAAAGAGGGAGUAGUAUGGUACCAGGGGAGCAGGAACCAGAGAAUAAUGUUUAAAAAAUAAAAAAUAUUAGGGUAGAGGAACCUAGAACCUAGGAAAGGAAAUAAAGCAGAACCAGGGGAACAUGAAAUUAGAGAAAUAGGAGAUAGGAAGCAAAACUAGUCCAGGGGCAUUUUUGAAAUACUUUUUAUUCAAUUGUUAUUUGUGCCUUGGUGGCACUUAAACACUUAGCUUUAAUUUUGUUAUUUAUAUGGAUGUAUGUGAAAUAUGAAUGCUGAUAUGUUUAUGAUAUUUAACUGCUGUAAACUAAAGUAUGCUGAUGUUUUGAUAUGUUGACUGUCAUAAACAAAAUCUACUGCUAAUAUGCUAAUAUGGUUUACAUGCUGAUAGAUAAUGUUUAUAUAAUGUCUAAUGAGAAUGAGUUAUAGAUGAAGCAUAUAGCAUAUCAAUUGAAAUGUGGAUGAUGUAGACACAAUCUGAAAUCAAUUGACUGUUGACAGUUGCUGGAACAUAGAUAAAAAUUUGUCAAAACUUGCAGCUGAAAAUCUCUGGAUGCAAAUCACUCUAUGCUGCUGACAUAUAUAUUCUCUAAAUAUACAAUAUCAUUUUCUAUAUGAUGAAAAUAAAACUGGCUGAAAUAAAAUAAGCAAAAUAUGCUCACAUUAAGGGGGAGCUUAUACUUAGGGGGAACAAUCCUUAAUUCCUGCAUAAAACUAAAAAGAAUUUAAAAUGACACUAUGCUGUUAAUCAAGGAGUGUUUUGUCAUCAUCAAAAAGGGUGAGAUUGUUGGCUCCAUUAGUUUUUGAUGAUAAUAAAACAUUCCCAUUUAUUUGUGUCUAAUUCCUUUGCUUAAGUGUGUAGGAAAUUAAUACAUGAAAUUAAUUUCUUAAAUCUUCAAAGAGUAUUUUUGAAAGAAAAAGAGGGAUAAAAUCAACAAGAUGUAACUGAAUAACAAGGAGGAAGCUUGUUGGUUUAACAAGGAAGAACAUCGGUUGACCAAAUUUCAAAUUAGAGAAAUGGUGGGCUGAAGAGUUUGAGAAACAGAACCAACUUAGCCAACCAAGUCAGUCGACUAAGUUCCCUCUGCUCGAAUCUGCAAACAAGAAAUAAAAUCAACUUAGUCAACCAAGUUAGUCGACUAAGAGCUCUCUGUCUGCAAUUUAAACUAGAACACUACAAGACAGAUUAAUGGCUAAAACUCAUCCUCAACUGUUUUCAACGGAUAUAAACUACCAAACUGCCAUCAGAGUUGCAUCUCCAAGUAUAAAAAGGUCUUUCAACAAUGAGAAACAAGUUUUUAGAAGCCUUGAAUGAGAUUUGAGCUAUAGAAAGUUGAAAAACCAGAAAAGCUUCACUGCACUUAUCUUCACUUAAACGCCCAUCUUCUGUAAUUGUGUUUAGCACUCAAUCUUGUACCAUUCAUAUUAACUUGUGAUCAUAGGUACUUUCUUUAACCUCUAUUCUUGUAUACAUAGAGUGAGGGAGUCACUCUAAAGGGUUGUUCAAGCUUGGGAAAGCUUGAAUGUUAUAGGUUGUGGUUGAGCCUUGGAAAACCACUUUGGGUUUUAGUUGAGCCAGUGAAAAACUAGUGUAAAGGUUUUGGCUGAGCCUAUGAAAAGCCAUUGUAAAAGCUUGGUGAAAGCUUGUGAAUUUCACCGAAUUCUUAGUGAAUCGUUGGGAAAAUCCUUGGUUGGAUAAUCAAGGUAGUGGAUGUAGGUCUUGGACCGAACCACUCUGAAUUGUUGUGCACUUUAUACUCUAUUUUUACUUUCUUAAGUUCUGGAAAUUAGUUCCACACAUUAUCAAGAGCCAAAUUGUGCUAUUCACCCCCCCUCUAGCAUAUAUUAAUGGGACCAACAAUAACAUGGUCCUAGCCAUUUCUUUUAAUGUUAUGUUUUUCCUUUCUACAACUCCAUUUUGCUGGGGUGUUCUAGGCACAGAAAAAUUAUGAUCCAACCCCUUUUCAUUACAAAAUUUUUCAAACUCAUCAUUCUCAAAUUCUCCUCCAUGGUCACUCCUUAUGCUAACUAUGGCUAGUCCUUUUUCAUUUUCUACUUUCUUACAAUAACUUAAGAAUGCUUGUAGAGCAUCAUUCUUAUGAGCAAGGAAGUAUACCCAAGUAUAUCUAAAGUAGUCAUCAACUAUUACAAAGCCAUAAGAUUUAUCUCCUAAGCUAGUUGUGCUUAUUGGAUCAAAUAGAUCAAUGUGCAACAAUUCAAGAGGUCUCGAUGUUGACAAUAAUUUUUUAGUCUUAAAGGAUGUUCUAACUUGUUUUCCUAGUUGGCAAGCAUCACAUAUCCUAUCUUUUUUCAAAUUUCAAUUCCGGUAGUCCAGUAACAAGAUUUUUCUUUAUUAAUUUAGACAUAGUAUGCAUGCUCACAUGUCCUAAUCUCCUAUGCCAUAGUUAGCUAUCAUUCUCAGCAUUUGCAACAAGACAUACUUCACUAUUCACAUCAAGGUCUUCAAGAAAGAUUACAUACAUGUUCUUCAACCUUUUUCCUAUAAAUGAGAUUUUAUUUGUACUUGUAUCAAUCACUUCACACUUAGUUGAAUCAAAACAUACUUUAAGUCCUUUAUCACAUAAUUAAGUAAUACUUAGUAGAUUAUGUUUUAAGCCUUUAACUAGCAACACAUGACUAAUUUGAGUUUAGGAACUCUUACCAACUGUACCUAUACCAUGUAUUCUGCCUUUUGAAUCAUUUCCAAAGGAUACGAUUCCUCCCUUUCUCUUAUCCAACUGAGCAAACAGCAUUUCAUGUUCUGUCAUGUGCCGUGAACAGCCAUUGUCCAAGUACCAAGGCUGUUUCUUCUUGAGUUGAGCUCUUGAACAUGUCUCUUUUAAGUCCAGCUCAACUUACAAAACAGAAUUUCAGUUUUCUUUAUAGGUACCAAUACUUUGAUGGGUCCUUGAAUGUUAGUUGCAGUAAAGGAUCCCUUAGGAAUCCAAAUUUUCUUAACUUUCUAUACUUUUCUUCUUUUAAAAUAGUCAUAUGACAAAUGACCAUGUUUACCACAAUUAUAACAUUUAGGUAAUGCUUUAGCUGAAUAUUGAUUGUGGUAUGCUUCUCUUUUUGAAGAUUCAUUUUUCAAACAUUUAAGAGCUGUGUUUUCAUCAAGAGUUAUUUGCAAGGCUUCAGACUUGUUUUCCAGCUCUUAUUUUAGAAACUCAAAGUCUGUUUUUGAAUGUUCUAACUCAGCUUGCAAAAUAUUUCUUUGCUCAAAAAUAGAGGUGAACUCUUGUUUGAUUUGUUCCAAAUCAUUUUCAAGUAAUGCAGCCUUUUUCUUCAACGAUUUGUAUUUUGAAAAAAGUUUUUCAAAUUCAUCAUAAAGGCAUUCAUAUUCAUCUUGUAAAUCAUCAUAAGAAUUAAUGGAGGGGGAUGAGGAUACCUCUGAUUCAUCCUCUUAUGACAUUAAACAGAUGUUUGCUCUUUCCUUAGAUUUUUCAUCAUCAGUUUUAAAGCUUGAAGUGUCACUGUCCGACCAUGCAGUAGCCACCAUUGCUUUCUUGGAUUUCUUAAUUUUCUUUGGUGUUUCAUCUUUCAGCAAUGGACACUCGGACUUAAAGUGACUAGGUUUCUUGCAUUCGUAGCAGAUCAGUUCCUCCUUUUUGUUGGAGUCAUUUUUGUUUCUUAUUUUCCAUGAAGCACUUUGGUCUUUCCUGAAACCUCUUCUAAUUAGCCUUCGAUUUCUUCUGCUCAUUAGUUUUCUGAAUUUUCUUGCAACUAGAGCUAAAUCUUCUUCAUCAUCAUAGGAAAGCUCUUUUAGCUCUUCUUAAAAAAUGUUGGCUUUAAGUGCAAUGCUCUUUUUCUUUUCCUUUGCUUCCCUUCGGUCAUCUUCUUCUUCUUCUUCCUUAAGCUCGAGCUCAUGAGUGAGAAGAGAACCACAUAUCUCAUCGAGAGUGAUGAUGUUCAGAUCUUUAGCCUCUCUAAUGGCAGUCACUUUUGGUUUUCAGGAUUUUGGUAGGCAUCGAAGCAAUCUCUUAACUAAUUCAUGUUCAGGGAUAGGCUUGCCUAGCUGACUUAAUUUAUUUGUAAUGUUUGUAAACCUAUCAAACAUGCUGGUAAUGUCUUCACCAGGCUCCAUUUUGAACAUUUCAUAACUAUGUGUUAAGAGAGCAAUUUUGGACUCUUUUACUUGAGAAGUCCCUUCAUGGAUUAUUCUAAGUUUUUGCCACACUUGUUUAGCUGUUGUACAGCUUGAGACUUUGUUAAAUUCAGUGAGGGUCAAGGCAUAAUGUAAUGUGUUGAUGGCCUUAAAGUUUAUUUGAACUUUCUUAGUUUCAGCCUCAGUCCAUUCAAACCUAAGCUUGGGCAUCAACUCAUUUGUAACUACAUUCACAGUUGAGGGCAUAAAGGGUCCAUCAGUUAUGACAUUCCACAUUUCAUAAUCUAUAGCUCUAAUAUAAAUUGACAUUCUAGUGCUUCAAUAAGGGUAAUUAGAGUCAUCAAAAGGAGGUGGUCUAUUUGUUGAUUGUCCCUCAGCAACUAUGGUUUUUUGUUGAGCCAUUUGGAUCCUCCCAAAGGAUGUUAAGCCUUAAAAACAGGGAACUAGCUCUGAUACCAAUUGUGGUCCCAUUAAUAUGUUCUAGAGGGGGGGUGAAUAGCACAAUUUGGCUCUUGACAAAAUGUGGAACUAAUUUCAAGAACUUAAGAAUAAAAACAGAGUAUAAGGUGCACAAUAAUUUAGAGUGGUUCGGUCCAAGACCUACAUCCACUACCUUGAUUAUCCAACCAAGGAUUUUCCUAACGAUUCACUAAGAAUUCGGUGAAAUUCACAAGCUUUCACCAAGCUUUUACAAUGGCUUUUCGUAGGCUCAGCCAAAACCUUUACACUAGUUUUUCACGGGCUCAACUAAAACCCAAAAUGGUUUUCCAAUGCUCAACCACAACCUAUAACAUUCAAGCUUUCCCAAGCUUGAACAACCCCUUAGAGUGACUUCCUCACUCUAAGUAUAUAAGAAGAGAAGUUAAAGAAAGUACCUAUGAUCACAAGUUGAUCUUAUUGGUACAAGAUUGAGUGCUAAAUACAAUGACAAAGAGUAGGUGUUUAAGUGUAGACAAAUGCAGUGAAGCUUUUCUGGUUUUUUUCUUUCUAAAGCUCAAAUCUCAUUCAAGGCUUAAAAAAACUUAUUUCUUAUUGUUGGAAGACCCUUUUAUACUUGGAGAUGCAACUUUGAUGGUAGUUUGGCAGUUUAUAUCCGUUGGAAACAGUUGAGGAUGAGUUCUAGCCAUUAAUCUAUCUUAUAGUGCUCUGGUUCAAAUUGCAGACAAAGAGCUUUUAGUUGACUAACUUGGUUGACUAAGUUGAUUUUAUUUCUAGUUUGCAAAUUCUGACAGAGGGCACUUAGUAGACUGACUUGGUUGACUAAGUUGGUUCUGUUUCUCAAACUUUUCAGCCCACCAUUGCUCUAAUUUGAAUUUUUGGUCAACUAGUGUUCUUCCUUGUUUAACCAAUAAGCUUCCUCCUUGUUAUUUAGUUACAUCCUGUUGAUUUUAUCCCUCUUUUUCUUUCAAAAAUACUCUUUGAAGACUUAAGAAAUUAAAUUCAUAUACUAAUUUUCUACACACUCAAAUAAAGGAAUUAGACACAAAUAAAUGGAAAUGUUUUAUUAUCAUCAAAAACUAAUGGAGCCAACAAUUAAAUCUGAGUCGAAACUCCAUCUUAAUCAUACAGAUUUCGAUCAUGUUUUAUACUUACUUACGUAUACCUAAUAACCAUCUUAUUACUUCCUUCCUUAUCAAACUUCUCAACAUUCUUUCAUUCAUCUUACCCCCCCUACACUAUUAUGUAGCUUAUAAACAUGCCAUAUUCAUUCCUGUACGUAUCCUCAAUGUCGGGGAAGGUUAAUGGCUUCAAUUAUUCCCACAUACUUCAUGUUUACCUCACAUUUAUGUAGCUUCAAUCUUCUUAAUCAUAUUAGUCCAUCUUGUAUGACUUAACCACGCUAUAGAUUAAAUUUCCUUACUAUCAUUUCCUUGACUAUUUUCAAAAUUUCUUAUGUCAACAUAGCUCAACUUCUGAUAGUAUUUCUUAUUGUUGUACCAUCUAUACAACUCAUCAAAUGUAUUGAGUUCAAAUCUUGAACAACUAAAAACAAUUCUUCACUUUAGUUGGACACAUCAUCAGCCCGACACAUAUGUAUGUACAUGCACAUUUAAGUGUCAACAUUCUCAUGUCUAAUGUACAAUCACUAGGUAUAAUCAAUUUUAGAUUACCCUUUUUAUAUGUUUAAAUCACCAUUCCACUUGUGUCUACCAUAAGUUAUCCCUUAUGUAAUCCAUACAAAUUCUCAUUAUGCCUAUGCAUAACUUCACAUCAUUUACAUGCCUAUACUCAUUUCUUAUCACUUCCAAUUAUAUGCUUAAGUAUAUCCUUGCAUCAUAAUGUCAUUAAUCACAUCUCACUUUUUAAAUGUCAUUUUCAUUAAAUUGCAAUCCAGUAUUCGUAUAUACUUUAUAAUCUCAUUGAUCUUUCAAAGGUUUAUCUUUAUUGGAUCAUUGCAUCUUAUGCAAUACCACAAUCCCUAAAAGUCAUCCUUAUUUCUCAAUUAUUCUUCAUACCUCUAACAUAUAUAUAUAUAUAUAUAUAUAUUAUAUCCUUAUUGCAUUUCGACUUUAAUGAGUCAGUUAAAACUUAGACUCAUUCAAAUCGUGCAUGCCUGAAGCAUUUUCGAAUUCCAAUUUCCAUACUACAUUAGGAAGUUUUCAUUAUCGAACUUCAUUAUCUAGAUUAUCUUCAAUCAUCCUUUGUUCUAUUCUUCCAUAUUAAUGUGACAUCAUUAUCCCGGACCAAUCUACAGUUUGUACUUGAAACUGCAAGACUUGAAACAAGGUCCUCCUCAAGUACUUUUCAAUGUCGCCAUGAAUAUCACUUUCAGCUUACGGCAUCCUCUUUAUAACCACAUAACUGAAUGCUUGCUUUCACAAGAUCCAUAGCAAAACUCCUCUUGAGUAUUUCCUUAGGGAUACCUAUCUUAAACUUAUGUCUCACCACAUGUGAUCACUUAACCCGUGGCUUAGCCGUUAGGCUCCUCAGCAAGUUUCAAAAAUCCCACAUUUUAUACUUGCCAUGAAUGAUUGGUAAUUCCUUCUCAAAGAUGUUUAUGCAUUCUUGAAACACUUAGUCUCUUAUUUGCUCUUUAACAUCUCGAGCAUAUUAUUUUGUAGACAUGCACUUAUUCUUCAAGAUAUAUAAAUACAUACUCGUCUAUUCAAUCCCCAAUUUAUCUUCAUAGGUUUCUAGUGUGCCACACAAUUGGCCUUGUGUUGUUACUAACCCUUUUCAUUUAAUUGAGUCAAGACAAGAAUUGCAAAUUCUCGUAAUGAUUUUCUAGAUAAACUCAUUUGCUAUACCACCUUUGUAAUCCGUUAUUCACACUUUCAUCACUUAGUAUUGACAUCCCUUAUCCAUAUCUCAUAUAUUCAUCUAACUUUUCACUCACUUUUCCUUAGCCUUUAACAAGGCUUAAUCUCUUGUCCUCUUUAUUUCUUAGGGUUUGACUUUAGUCAACAUAUUAUUCAUCUUAAUGCUUCACAUGGUAAUUUGUCUCAAUGUAGCCGUCUCGAGAAGUCUUUAACUUUUCUUUUACUCACAUGCCAAUAUAUAUAAAGCAAUAAAGAAACUUUUCAAUUCACUCAUAUAAACACUUUCCCAACGCUCUUAAAACACCAAUUAAUAAAGCUCAACAUCAAGACCAAUGACUAUACUUCAACUAGUGAGUUUCAUCUUCAUGCUACUCAUAAUUUGCUCGUGCUUUCUAGCCAUAAGAGGUUCUUAACAUGACAGCGUUGGGCAGUCGGCGCUGUGACGUUGCAGCUGCUGGAAUUUACUUUAUUAAAUGGAUUCUGCCACUUUUAAGGCUACAACACUAAUCAUUCUCAAUCGUGUGGCUUCCCUCUGAGUCUAUAUCACAAUUAGCAAAACUAACUUUCUAUCACAGGUAUGCAAUUGGAAAAAUGAUUUCGACAUAUCUAUUUCACCUUUUGCGGUAUGCCAAAAUCAUCUUUUGGGCAUAUUUCACUACCAGUAUUCAUAUAUCUUUACCAUAACAUUUUAAUGCAAACUUGGUUAGACAAUUGCUUCCACAUAACUCUUAAAUACAUAAACAUCAAGUUGUACACCACUUAAUGUUAAGAUCUUAACUUUACUCACCAAUCCUUAAUCAAUUACAUUCAUGAGAUGGACAUUUCACUUAAUUGUUGCAUCUCGCCUUUACAGUCAUAAGAUCAAAAUUUCCUAAACGUAGGAUGCAGAAGCUCCCUCCUAGAACUUAUCCAAAAAUUGAUAUUUCCCAAAUCCUUUACCUCUAGGAAGAUCACAUUCAAAACUAAUCAUCUUUAUCAUAGAUUGCGUAUUGAACCUAAUAAACUUUUAAAUUGAUCGCUAAAGCAAUUGGUAUAUCAAACUCAAAUAUAGAACUCCAUAUGGCAUUUAGACCAGAUUCGACAUUUCUCAGUUAUUUAACUUUAAGCCAUUAAAUCCACAACUAGUCCUUUAAUCCUUUGACCUCACGUUAAGCAUAACAAAGUUCAAGCUCCUCCUUAGGGCAAAUUAGUUUACUAACCUUUCAGUUGAUGACCACGCAUCAAUCAUAAUAAUCAUUGAUUUUCACCCUUGGCUAAUUCAUGUACUUAUAAGUAUAACCUAUAAUAAUUCUAAUCAAACCUUAGGAUCUCGCAAUCACUUAAUUGAAAUUAAAACCAGCUCCAUUUAAGCUGCUAUACACAUAUUCAACACUUAUACGCUUAUAAAAUAUUUCAAAAGCCCACACCAUUUUUAUAGGGGCAUGUCAAGCUCAAUUAACACAGUGCACUUACCUCCGUGCACAUAAACAUUGGUUUAGACCUUUCUCAAUACUUAGAUUUAUAAACCUCAAGGGGGUCACAAGAAUCACUAUUCAUUCCAGUCAAGGUACGACUUUUAUUACCAUUAUCAUAUGUCCUCAUUUAUAUUGACCUUAAAUACAAUCCACAGUCCCCUAAUUUUCUUUCGAUUGACAACCAUGGGUUCAACUUAUAACUCCACCAAAUGAAUAAAUUAUUAUGGACCCAUCAGUCCAGCUCCACCUUCCUCCAUCCUUAGUCGGAGGGAUAUAUCAUGACAUUAACCUUUCAUUAGGAGCAUUUGCUUAAAAUCUUUCCAACAACAGCUCGUGUCUUGAGUGGCAUCUCAAACCCGGACAAUGGCACUACUUAUGACCUUUAUGUAAUGUUAGUGAAAAAGGUAGGAUACUAAGAAUAGGAGUUCAUAUAGCCUCCUGUCUAUAACUUGUGCUGCAAUCACAAGCCAUAAACAUGACUCUACAUUAAUUCUGACAACUCCGCUGACUGACAUCAGAAUUCCUAAGACUCGACUAAACCUAGAGCUUUGAUAGCACGUUUGUCACAUCCUAAUUUUCGAGCCAUGACCGGCUCAAGGGCCCAAUAGGCAUAGCCCACUAAGCCCAAGCAAGCUCUGUUAUGCACUCUUGAUCGUCAUUUAAGUAAUCAUUCUUAAAGUCACAUGGCAUAAUUCUCGACUAUCAAAUAUUCAAUGACAUACUAUGGCAAUCAAAUACUCACAUUUGUAUUUUGCCAAAAUAAUGUCACCCGUUUGCCAACUCAUAGUGACAUCAGUAAUCAAGUAUAUAUAUUUGACUUCUAACAUGGAUCCUAGUGGAUUACAUUAUAUAUACGUGUUCACAUGCAACAUGUCACGACCCGGUACUCCCCUCAAGCCCGUGACAACCGUCGCGACGUCCCGAUAGACAUUCGUUACCCGGAGUGCCAAUCGGAACCCCGCAAGACUUUAGUACCAAUUUUUUUUUCAUCUCCCAUGUGAGUAAUCAUCACCAAACCUCAUUUUUAAAGAAUUUUAAGCUUUUUCCCUUUCAAAACUGUGGAAAAAUAAUUUUCGCCUCACAGGGGCGUUUUCAUCAUUUUUCCUCGAAAUUUUUCGAACUCGACUGAAAAUGUAGUAGAUGAAUGGAAAACACAUAUUUCAUGAUUUUAAAUAAAUUUGGGUGUCUAAAACAUUUAUUAAAAAUGAUAUUGCAACUAUUUGAAUAAAAUAAAAAUAUUCAAUAAAAUAUUCUAAUUUCUUGUAAAACAAUAUUUAUAGCCAACGGUAAAUAAUUUUUGGAAUGUAAAAGCUAAAUAAAUUCAUACGUACUAUAAUACAGUUAACCGGGAUAUGCAAUUUACCUUACAGUGACUCGUGGGCCCACAAGGAACAAAAGUGCACAAAGGCAGUAAAUCAACAAGUUUUGGAGUAGUAAAGCCGACUAUAAUCCUUGACGAUAUCUGUUAUCCACAGGCUACCUCGGGCCUGAAAUGGUUGAAAAUGAAGGUGGUGAGAUUAUAAAAUCCCAGUGAGUAAACAGAUACCAUCUAAACCAUCUAAAGUUGAGUAAAUGGAGACAGAUAAAACAGUUUAACAUACUGAAAUUCAUCACCUUUCAACUUGUUUCAAUGAAAUAAAAUCAAUUCAUAUAAAUCGAGUAAUUAACAUGGCUUAUGAAUUUCUUAAAACUUUUGCUCGUGCCAAAAUCAUUAUCAUACUCAGUCAUCAGGGAUACCUUGGCCGAGGGCUAUCCCAAACCGAGUCCGCCAAGGCUGUUAAAAAGUUAUGUAUGCAAAAAUCAUGUUUUUAUUUUGAAAACAUAGUCGUUCCUUAGCGUUGGCUGAGUUCACCCUCACAUGAUGGUUUGGCGUGAAGUGAACUCUAAAGUGUUAACUUUAGGAGUUAUCCAACCACGCCUCUCAUACUGAGGUAAGAUAUAACGAGGUUUACCGUGCCCCUCUAAUAGGCUGGUCCACGGAAACCCGCCCACUACAGUAAGCUAAUCAAUAUCCCACCAAUUCAAUAAAAAUUCAACAGCAUGACAUGGCAAUUUAUCAUUAUCCAGCCUAUCAAGGCAAACAACAGUUUAUACAUUUCAACACAAAUACCAAUUUAGCCAUUCAUGCCAAUAUUGUCAUCAGCCAAUCAAUUAGAACCAUAAAUUACAAUACAUCAAAUGCUCUCCAAUUACUCUAUUUUUAAAGCCAUUAUUCAAUUUUAAAAUAAUUUUAUGAAAUCAUUUCAUUAAAUCACAUUUGGUUUAUAAAAUCGAAAAAUUAAUCAUUUAAUUCAGUUUCCAUAAAAUUCACAAAAUCGGAUAAAAACCACUUUAGAUAAUUAAGACGACAGUAAGGUUACUCACAGUACUAGGAGUUCGAUAUACUCAUAUUCUUGAUCUUCGGGCACAAUCUCUUUACCCUUGUUAGAGGGCUCAUCGCCUAUACAUCAUACGUGACACGAAUUUCAAUAAAUUGUGUCAAUUUAUCAUAAACUAUUUCAGGUUCUAUAGAUCUAUAUGAAUGCACAAAAUGUGAUGCAAAAUGUCUGAAUAGCCUUUUAAAUACGGUAUUCAACCUAAUUCGCACUAUUCUCGAUGUACUUGGCUAAAACCUCCAAUUUAACUCCAAAUCAAUUUCUUUCACUUUCUACACUCCAAUUAUACUUAAAAUACCUCAAUGACUAUGAAUAUGAUUCAGUUUAUCAGUCCAAACCAUAAAUCGCACAUGUCUAUACAUUAGGUAAAAAUUCAGAAUUUCAUGCCAAAUUUCCCAUUAAAUUUCUUGCCUCACCAAUCAUUAACUACCAUCAAAAUAUCAUAAAAUAUCAUCAAUUUCAACCUCAAUAUCCUCCCUAGAAAAUUCGACCUCUAGUGGGUUUGUGAAGAACAAAGUGAUUCCUUGCUAGAUUUUCAUACUUUCCAUUACCAAACAACCAAAAACACUUAAUUAGCUUGAAAUCUAGCAAAAUCAAUGCUCAAAACCUCUCCUCUCAAAUUCGGCCAACAUGGGUUCAUCAUGCAAACUUGAGUUCUAAGCAUGGAAAAUGAAAAAGAAAGCAUGGGUAGUGUAAAUCACAAGAUAAAAUCACAAAAUUUUACCUUUAUUAGCUUAAUCCCUUGAAAUCCCACACUUUUUCUUCAAUUUUCCCACCUAGGGUUUGUGUUCUUUCCUUUCCUCUUC
rnacentral:lncRNA from 1 species